UACUUCAGAAUGGCCCUGAGACCAAGGAAUAUAGGAAAUGAAUGAAAACACAGAAAUAUUGAAAGGCCAAAAAGACAGGAAGAAUUCAUGCAGAAACUCAAGUGCUUCUGAUACCAAGAUUAACAAUGAGAUUUGUCCUGCUGCUUCUCAGGCCUGUUAGAAGUGUACUGAAUAAUUUGCUAGGAGUCUCUGAUAUGAUGUAUGCAAUCAUCUGUAGAUACCUCCUUAGUGAUGCAACUAGAGAAUAGGCUCACUGGCUGCUUCAGAGUAACAAGAGGAUAAAUUUAAUACUGAUCUUCUAUCCACACAAUGACACCUUUGAGGGUCUGAGAGAAAGUUUCAGUCAAAUCCACAUGCAUUAAGGGAACAGAAGUCUGAGAGGCCUGUAAACCUCACAGUACACCUGGAAAGGUGAUGAGAAUAUAACGUUGGACAGCACAGGAGGAGGAAAGAAUACCUUCACUGCACUCACAGCCACUGAAAUACCCAAGUGCCUUUGCAGAGUCUGAUGAUAGAGCAAUUCUUGUGAUAGCACACAGAUGCAAAAUGCACAGGUGGAAAUAUUGAAAAUACAUGGAUUUAUAUUGACUGAUUUCACAUUGCAGUGGAAAAGCAAAAAUCUGAGUAAAAAGAAAGCGAUAGUGAUGUUGCAAACAAAAGAUUAGUCAGCAAGUACUGACUCUGCAGCCACAGGUGGACUCUGUGUGAGAGUAAUCCAGA